rnacentral:rRNA from 1 species
CUUUCUUUGCUGGCGACCGGCGCACGGGUGAGUAACACGUAUCCAGCCUGCCCUUUACUCGGGGAUAACCUUUCGAAAGAAAGAUUAAUACCCGAUAGCAUAAUGAUUCCGCAUGGUUUCAUUAUUAAAGGAUUCCGGUAAAGGAUGGGGAUGCGUUCCAUUAGGUUGUUGGUGAGGUAACGGCCCACCAAGCCUUCGAUGGAUAGGGGUUCUGAGAGGAAGGUCCCCCACAUUGGAACUGAGACACGGUCCAA